GUGUCAGCCGCCGCGGUAAUACGUAGGGUGCGAGCGUUAAUCGGAAUUACUGGGCGUAAAGCGUGCGCAGGCGGCCUGAUAAGUCAGAUGUGAAAUCCCUGAGCUCAACUUAGGAACUGCGUUUGAAACUACAAGACUAGAAUAUGUCAGAGGGGGGUAGAAUUCCACGUGUAGCAGUGAAAUGCGUAGAGAUGUGGAGGAAUACCAAUGGCGAAGGCAGCCCCCUGGGAUAAUAUUGACGCUCAUGCACGAAAGCGUGGGGAGCAAACAGGAUUAGAAACCCCAGUAGUCC
rnacentral:rRNA from 1 species